rnacentral:rRNA from 1 species
UACAUGUGGGGCAAGCGUUGUUCGGAAUUACUGGGCAUAGAGGGUGCGUAGGCGGUUUGUUAAGUCACUGGUGAAAGUUUUCGGCCCAACCGGAAAAUUGCCUGUGAUACUGGCGAACUUGAGUGCGUGAGGGGUGGGGGGAACGAGCAGUGUAGCGGUGAAAUGCGUAGAUAUUGCUCGGAAGGCCGGAGCCGAAGGGGCCCCACUGGUACGUAACUGACGCUGAGGCACGAAAGCGUGGGGAGCAAACAGG